GACGAACGCUGGCGGUGUGCUUAACACAUGCAAGUCGAACGGAAAGGCCCUGCUUUUGUGGGGUGCUCGAGUGGCGAACGGGUGAGUAACACGUGAGUAACCUGCCCUUGACUUUGGGAUAACUUCAGGAAACUGGGGCUAAUACCGGAUAGGAGCUCCUGCUGCAUGGUGGGGGUUGGAAAGUUUCGGCGGUUGGGGAUGGACUCGCGGCUUAUCAGCUUGUUGGUGGGGUAGUGGCUUACCAAGGCUUUGACGGGUAGCCGGCCUGAGAGGGUGACCGGCCACACUGGGACUGAGAUACGGCCCAGACUCCUACGGGAGGCAGCAGUGGGGAAUAUUGCACAAUGGGCGGAAGCCGGAUGCAGCAACGCCGCGUGCGGGAUGACGGCCUUCGGGUUGUAAACCGCUUUCGCCUGUGACGAAGCGUGAGUGACGGUAAUGGGUAAAGAAGCACCGGCUAACUACGUG
rnacentral:rRNA from 1 species